CACCAUUUUUCACCCAAACCUCACCACUUCACCAUUUCUAAAUUCUGCAGUCUCAAUUUCACACAGCAAGUUAAGAAAUAAAUAUCUUCCACCACACCUAUUCAAGGUUGAGCGGGUGAUGGAAUGGAGUGGAGUUGAGCGGAUGUACCUUUUGACAUAAAAUAAUAAUGUAACCUUGAGUAUACAUCUUCAUAUGUAUAUCUCACACGUAUUUCCGCUGAAAGAUACUCUGAUUAUGAUAAUGUUUUAUUUUAA